CGCAGCUUGCUCUCGCCAUGCACCUCGCCUGUCUCAUCCUCACCGUCUUCCUGGGACAGCUCCUGGGCACCACGGGACAGGUCACGGUCACCCAGGAAAAUGGACCAGUCAUGGUGAAGCAGGGACACACCUUCCAGACCACUUGCAAAUACCAGACCAGUUAUCCUCCUUCUUUGCUCUGGUAUAAGCUGCAGAAAGGCCAAGGCCCACAGCUGGUCUCCUAUCAAGCAGGGCCUGGCUCCAAGCGCAAUGGCCGUAUCACCACGCACCUGAACACCACGGGGAAAUCCAGUGUCCUGCGGGUGGAGGAAGUGCAGGGCUCUGACACUGCCUUGUACCUCUGUGCUGUGCAAGACACCCUGCUGCAGGGAGCUUCCUCAGCUGUGCAACAACCCAGGGGAGGGAGGGGAUGUGUCUGUGCCAGGCGGAGGUUGGGGAGGGGACGCUGGGCUCAGCUCAGUGCUCCCCAGAAGUUGCCUCACACAUGUGUGCAUGGUGGAUUUGUUUUCGAUUCCGUGUCGGUGAUGUGCGGGAUGGGACACGGCUGUCUCUUGGCUCUGGCGAUGCCGAAAUUGUUGCGUGUCUGA